GACGAACGCUGGCGGCGUGCUUAACACAUGCAAGUCGAACGGAAAGGCCCUGCUUUUGUGGGGUGCUCGAGUGGCGAACGGGUGAGUAACACGUGAGUAACCUGCCCUUGACUUUGGGAUAACUUCAGGAAACUGGGGCUAAUACCGGAUAGGAGCUCCUGCUGCAUGGUGGGGGUUGGAAAGUUUCGGCGGUUGGGGAUGGACUCGCGGCUUAUCAGCUUGUUGGUGGGGUAGUGGCUUACCAAGGCUUUGACGGGUAGCCGGCCUGAGAGGGUGACCGGCCACAUUGGGACUGAGGUACGGCCCAGACUCCUACGGGAGGCAGCAGUGGGGAACAUUGCACAAUGGGCGGAAGCCUGAUGCAGCAACGCCGCGUGCGGGAUGACGGCCUUCGGGUUGUAAACCGCUUUCGCCUGUGACGAAGCGUGAGUGACGGUAAUGGGUAAAGAAGCACCGGCUAACUACGUG
rnacentral:rRNA from 1 species